UACGAAGGAUCCUAGCGUUGUCCGGAUUUACUGGGUUUAAAGGGUGCGUAGGCGGACUUUAAGUCAGUGGUGAAAGCCUGCAGCUUAACUGUAGAAUUGCCAUUGAAACUGAUUGUCUCGAGUGUGGUUGAGGUCACUGGAAUAUAUCAUGUAGCGGUGAAAUGCUUAGAUAUGAUAUAGAACACCAAUUGCGAAGGCAGGUGACUAAGCCAUAACUGACGCUGAUGCACGAAAGCGUGGGGAUCAAACAGG
rnacentral:rRNA from 1 species